rnacentral:rRNA from 1 species
GAUGAACGCUGGCGGCGUGCCUAAUACAUGCAAGUCGAGCGAACGGACGAGAAGCUUGCUUCUCUGAUGUUAGCGGCGGACGGGUGAGUAACACGUGGAUAACCUACCUAUAAGACUGGGAUAACUUCGGGAAACCGGAGCUAAUACCGGAUGAUAUUUUGAACCGCAUGGUUCAAAAGUGAAAGACGGUCUUGCUGUCACUUAUAGGUGGAUCCGCGCUGCAUUAGCUAGUUGGUAAGGUAACGGCUUACCAAGGCAACGAUGCAUAGCCGACCUGAGAGGGGGAACGGCCACACUGGAAGUGAGAACGGGUCCAGACCCCGACGGGAGGCAGCAGUGGGUAAUCUUCCGGAAUGGGCGAAAGCCUGAGGGAGCAACGCGGCGGGAGUGAUGAAGGUCUUCGGAUGGUAAAACGUUGUUAUUAGGGAAGAAAUAAUGUGUAAGUAACUGUGCAAAUCUGGACUGGACCAAAACAGAAAGCCGCGGCGAACUCGGU